GCCUGCACAGUGGUGCAGCUGGUAGCACCAUUGCCCUGUAGGAAGAAGGUCCUGGGUUCAAAUCCCUGGCUGAGGUU